GCGCUGGGGCGGGGCUGGGGGGGCGGCGGUGGUGCUGGAAAAAGGAAGAAGGCCCCCUACACCGCCGCCGGAUUCUCUUUCCCCGUUCUACUCUUCCCUUCUCUGGGGAGCCCCUUGCAUCCAAGAACCAGAUGCAAACCCCCACCCCCAGCCUCCAGAUAGGACCCAGGGUCCUGUCUGAGGUCCUUGCGUCCCGCAGUCUUCUUAGGAGCGUGCAGCUCCGUGGCUCGAGGGCGCCACCUGGAGACAGAAAGGAAGUCUGACGACCUUCCCUGCCUCCUCCCUGCUCAUCUUACCCUGUGGGAUAGUGGGGUGCUAGCGGCCCGUUCAGACUGGCAGCUCCUGGAGAAGAAGACCCAUGACUGAUCCCCCAAAGCCCUGCACGCUGAGAGGUUCCAGAAGCAACGGCACCUCAGUAACAACAAGCACAACUAGCUGCCAGAUCUUGGUUUCUAACACCAUUCUCCAAAAAAGGAGCCAGGGCUGCUUGGAGAAAGAGCUGAGGCAGGAAAUAAACAAGAUGAGUGUACAGUGCCAGAAAAUAAGGAACUAAGCCACCUCAGCAGGUGAACUCACUGCCCUCCCCUCUAUGUGGGACCUGACUCCCA